rnacentral:misc_RNA from 1 species
GGGCUGGCUUGUAUGCACAAUAAUCCGAUGAAUUAACAUAAGUUAUAAACUUCACAAGUAAAUUGAUUUUAGCAGGAUAAACUGACAAGCUUAAAAAGGAAAAAAUGUGCAAACGAACUCAAAUAACUAUUCCCAUCCUCUUAGAAAACUUCAGUUUAUAUUCAGUCUUUCAUUUCAAACAGAAAAUGCUGCUUUCCAGAGCAAAUC